UGGGGGAAUAUUGCACAAUGGGCGAAAGCCUGAUGCAGCGACGCCGCGUGAGGGAUGACGGCCUUCGGGUUGUAAACCUCUUUCAGCAGGGAAGAAGCGAAAGUGACGGUACCUGCAGAAGAAGCGCCGGCUAACUACGUGCCAGCAGCCGCGGUAAUACGUAGGGCGCAAGCGUUGUCCGGAAUUAUUGGGCGUAAAGAGCUCGUAGGCGGUUAGUCGCGUCUGCUGUGAAAAUCUCGAGGCUCAACCUCGGGCUUGCAGUGGGUACGGGCUGACUAGAGUGCGGUAGGGGUGACUGGAAUUCCUGGUGUAGCGGUGGAAUGCGCAGAUAUCAGGAGGAACACCGAUGGCGAAGGCAGGUCACUGGGCCGCAACUGACGCUGAGGAGCGAAAGCAUGGGGAGCGAACAGGAUUAGAUACCCUGGUAGUCCAUGCCGUAAACGUUGGGCACUAGGUGUGGGGUCCAUUCCACGGAUUCCGUGCCGCAGCAAACGCAUUAAGUGCCCCGCCUGGGGAGUACGGCCGCAAGGCUAAAACUCAAAGGAAUUGACGGGGUCAUAGCUGUUCCU
rnacentral:rRNA from 1 species